ACUUUUCUGUUUACGUUUAGCUAUACGUCUUACACGAUAAACUAGUAAGAUAUUUUCAUGCCUUCGAGGUGUAAUUUGGAGCACGUCAGGCUAGCAAUCGGGAGGUCCGGAGUUGAAAUCCAGGCGAAAGAAGUAGCUCCUUUUUCAUGUUUUCUGCUUCGAAAAAUAUAAAAUAACUCUACAGUGAACCUCGAACUAAAAUGUGGUAGAUUGUAAUUCGUCACACCAGGAUUUGGGGACUGAGUCUCUUUCUCCCCAAUAGCCCUUUAAGUGGAGAAGAAGGCAAGGCAUUUUCGUCUUCUUUUUGCAUUGGUGCUGUAACUAGAAGCACGUGGAGCAGCUGGGAGGUCUGGAGUCGAAUACCGUUUUAUUCAGGAUUCUUUCUGUCUGUGCUACUGAGUGUAGUUCUUGCCUAUCCUCCUUACGGUGCACAAGUUCAACAUCAGUAUAUACCAGUACACACCCAACACGCUCCUUCAGUUCAGUACCAAGCAGCACCUGUUCAAUACCAGGCAGCCCCCGUGCAAUAUGAAGCAGCACCAGUGCAGUAUCAGGCAGUACCGGUAGAAUAUGCUCAUGCACCAGUUCAAUACCAACAUUUACAGGAACCUCAAAUCCAGAGCGUUCCAGUAGCAUAUGCACAGGUCCAGCCAUCCAUCCUGAGUUCUGGAGAAGAAAGCCACGGAGUUCACGGUCAGCAGUUAUCCGGUCACUCACAAGCUGGUUCAAACGAAUACGUUGACAAAUUCGCAACUAGUGAAAAAGCAGCAGCUGCCCAUGGACAUCACAACACUGGUGCAUUAAGCAAGCACGCUGCUCAAGGCGCAAAACACAGCCAUCAAGGCACUUACCACAACACAGGCUCAUAUUCCCAAGAUAAAGGCAGUGGCUACGAGAAAUCAUACUCUUACGACAGAGCUUCAGGUUUUCAUGAUAUUACUGCUCAUGAUGCUGCCCAUUCAGAUAGUUAUGGAACCAAAAAUGAACAAGGCCAUCAUUCUGUGGGUGCCCAGAGUGUAAAUAAGCACGCAAAAGAAAGCGCACACAGCAAAGCAGGAAGUUCUUCACACAGUGCCCAAGCUCACAAUUCUGCACUGUUCAAGAAAUACGGGUACACUAACGGAGGAGCACAAGAUGGCUACAGUUAUUCUCCUGUAUAUGGAUACGGGUAUCAUUAAACUUUGUGGAUGAGAACUUUGAGAUUCCACAUUCUUGCUCAAAGUCCGACUGACAUAAGCAACAGGAAAGGGAAAUGCUGACGAAGAUUUAUUUAUUACUUGCUUUCUGUACAGCUUCGUGAUCAUUGAUGUUCUUCUUGUGCUUUUAUUUGUUUAUAGAAGAAUUAAAUAAACAUUUUUAUUUUAUUUUAUA